UGUUUGCUGCAAUUACAUAUUAUUAAAGAGGUUACUAUUUAUAUUCUGCGAAGAAGUAUUUUUUAAUAAUGAUAGUGAUUGACUUACGCGUUUAUAAGUAUAAUAAUUAGAUUCAAAACGAUUUUCUCAAAUUAUUGAACAAAUUGUUAAACAAACGUAUGCAUCUUCUACAUCAUUGAAUUUAUAUAAUUUUCAUCUACAAUACCUCCUCAUCUCCAAUACAAAAAGGUUAUAUGGCUCCAUUCAAUAGGAAGUUAACCUUGUUUUUUUAUUUUAAAAAUUGUAUCUUUGCAAUGUUUAUUUUGGUUUUGUUUUACUUAUUUAUUUUGGUAAUUUAAUUGACGAUUGAGCAGAAAUAUUCUUCUUGUUUAUGAUAUUAAUGAAAUUUUUCCCGUUAUAACUUGGUUACUUUCGAUUGUUAUUACUUAUUAUAUUUGACAAUGACAAGAGUUAAAGGAAUGUUGAAAUAAAUAAAGAAAUUAAGGAUAUAGAUACAACAAAACUCAUUCUUUUAUUUCAGAAGAUGGUUUCUCAAAAACGUGACUUAUGAAGUCUGAUGAAGUGUAUUCGAAUAAGGCAGUGUAUGAGAUGAAUAUAUUAAUUUUGCAGUAGAGGGAGAAUAAACUGAAGAUGUUGCUAAAAGAAAUGCUGAAGAAAUGCAUUAGUUUCCUCUAGAAAUUGUAAAAGUCAUGAACCAAGUUUUAUAGCGGAUAACUAUAAAGGAUAAUGAAAAAACGAUUUCGAUUGAAAAAGUAUGUCAUGGAUCAAAUAUCAGAAUAUUAUAGAAUACCAGAAUAAGAUACAAUGAAUAUAACCUAGAUGUUAUAAAAAAGCUGUAUGUGCAACUUUCUUCCAUAUAGUAUCAAUGGAUGACUAGUUGCUUCAAAACUUUUCUUUAAGUAAUUGAUGUAAUUAUAUUGUAUGUCUCGUUCUCGAUAAUUAUAAUGUAAUCAUCCUUGGCAUGGUAAAAUCACAACGUUUGACGCAUAAGGUUUUUCAAAAAAAUAAAGCCUGAAGUUUUUAGGUAAGGAUCCAAAUGAAGGUCCUGAGUAAGGAUCCACAACUAAAAGAAACGUGGUUGUAGUGGAAAAAUAAAGACUUGCUAGAGAAAAAUAAAAAAGAAAUUUUAGAAUUAUAUAAAAUUACACUGAAUCGACCAAAAUAAACCUUGAGAUACUACCACUGGUAUCAGAUGUUGCUAAAAAAAGAGACCAACACUUCUUGGACACUCAGAAAUGUGUCGGUACUAUCAUAUGGGCGUUGGAUGCGGCAGUUUCUAUUUUAAUAGAUCCUCCGAAAAACGGCUUAGAUGAGGAUAUAUUUACAGAUUAUAUCAAUCACGCUGGACAGAUAUUAACGGAUCUCAUUCUUCAACAGACUAAAGCUCGAAAAUCAUUUAUUACAUCACAGCUAAACAAAAAUAUUAAACCAGUGAUAGACUCGAUGGUUUCCAAUGAAUAGUUGUACGAGAACAAGCUCAAGGAAAUGGUUAUAGAUACAAAAAAAAAAAGAGAAGGCUUGUGCUGAAAUUAAGAAGGCCCCAUCGAAAACAGCAGCAAAGUUUCGAAGUCAGUGAAACUCGAAAUACCCACCGACGAAUUACCGUCCGACAGAUCAACAACAGAAAUGCCUGUUAAAAUUCAAAUCAAAGAAUCCCACGAAAUCUGCCCAGAACAACAAUCUGGAAGACAAAUCAUUCACCAUUGAGGAAUUAGUAAAAAUAAUUAAACAGCAAAUCGUUUAUCCCUCUAUGUGGAGAUAUGGAAAGAAAUUACAGCUGAUAAAUAUAUGCUCAGCUAUUUAAAUGAUUAUAAAAUACCAUUUACAGAUAUACCGAUCCAAGAGACUGUACUGAGGGAAAAACAUUUUCUCUAGAAGGCAAAGGGAAAAUUAUUAUAGAAAUUAAGAAAAUAAUAAGAAAAGGAGCUGUCAAGAAAUGGAAGGACUGUAAGGGACACUUCAUAUCGUCCUUUGUCCUAAUAUCAAAACCCAAUGCCUCUAAUUGGUUCAUAAUCAGCUGAAAAGAGUUGAAUAAAUUUAUUCAAGUUCUACAUUUUAGGAUAUUCAGUCAGCACUAGAUUUGUUUUCCCCAAGAGAUUUCUUAGAAUCCAUAGAUCUUAAAGAUGUUUAUUUCUCAGUACCUAUACAUAAAGGCCAUAGAAAAUUUUUGAGAUUCAAGUUGAGAUAAAGAUUAUGAAAUCUAUAGUAAAUAUAUUAAGAUAUAUAAGACAAAAUGUAUUUGUCUUAUACCUAGAUGAUUUUCUCUUUAUUAAUAAAUCAAAAAAUGGAUGUGGAUAAAAUAUAAAAGAGAGAGUUCAAUUUUUAGAACUGUGGGAUUUAAUUAUCAACUAUCAGAAAAGUUCCUUAGUUGUGGAACAAUAUUCUAAACAUCUAGGUUUCGUUAUCAAUACUAUUAAUUCACUAUAAAUUUAACAGAUAAGAAAAAGAUUCAAAUAGUAAAACUAUUAAACGAAUUUAAAGUAAACAAAAUUUUUGGUUUUUGCGACAAAAACAAGAAGGAAAAAAUCACAUGAAUUAUCUUUAAUAUUUUUUACGAUAAAAUGCUUCGCAUUGCGAUGUGAAAUAUUACUUCUCUUAGACAAUACCACAGCUAUCGUGUACGUAAAUAAACCCGGAGGAGUCCAGUAUCCACGCCUUAAUGAGCUGUCAAGAAAAAUUUGGUAGUGAUGUAAAGAGAAUUGGAUAUGGUUAAAGGCAUCAUACAUAGCAUUAGCAGAAAAUACUGA